ensembl:lncRNA
AUUUUUUUUAAAAUUAGAACUUGCUAGUGUUUCAUAGAUUUCAAUAUCAAUCUAGUACUAAUAUUUUUAAAUCAUAAUGCUCAAGUAAUACUUAAAAUGGAUGCUAUUUUUGGCUGUAGUUACAUUUUUUCAAUAGAACUUAGCUCCACGUGACCUCUUUGUAGAAACAAUAGUAUUUUGCUACGUUAGCAGGUUUUUGCUAUCUUUCUUGGGGGAGAUGUAUGUUUGUUUAAAGAGAACAAUCCUCGAAAAUAUUAUUUCCAGAAUGAAUAGGACAAUAAUCUAAAUAUAGUUGGCUCACUUCUAAUAAUUCUUUCCUCAGAAACAGUUUUCAAGUACAACCACUGGAAAUAGGCAAAUACUAAGAGAUAGAUGACAUUCCCUAAAGAAGGCUGACAGCUUUUCUUAUUUGUAUAUUUAUAGUAUAUAUUUUUACAAAACAUAUCUAUAUAUAUUUUUAUAUGUAUAUACAUGCACAUAUACAUUUAUGUAUUUUAUGUAUAUUCAUAUAUAUACACAUGUGCUGAAAGUUCACUUUUUUGUCCUUUUCAUUCUCUUUCAGGAACCCACUAGAUCCAUGGAUCAGGCAUGUAACAACCCUACAGUGACUGAAUUUUUGAAGUUCAAAGAUAUUCCUGUCAUUUUUGCCAGUAUAGAUGAGGAUGACCUCUUGAAUCAUCGUUCCACUUACUGCAGAUUAGAAAGAUAUGUUGAGGCCCACUGAGUGUGCAGAAACAGAUCUCAACAGAUAACAUCCAAAUGACCACAGCGAGAGGUCAGAUGCGUUCCUGAGUUGCCUGUGCAAGGCUUCCCAUAAGCCAUCCUCUGAACCUGGCUCUGCAGCUGAUGUUGUGCCACAGCCACCUCUGUAUUAUGCAGUGUGUUCACCAGUAAUGUCUUACAGCAGAACGACAUGCACACGUUUUGUUUUGUGUAGGCUUAUACUUCCAUUAGGCUGAGGUGCCACAGAGAGUCACUUUUCUCUGUAUGCUAUACUGCAGCGGCUGCCUAAUGUACGCCAUAGAAUAAUCUGAAUUGGAAAAGACUGUAAAGGUCACCGAGUCCAACUCCCCUGCAACGGACAGGUACACCUACAGCUAGAGCAGGUUGCUCAGUGCUCUGUCCAGCCUGACUUUGAAUGUCUCCAGGGAUGGGGCACUACCUGUCUGGGCAACCUGUACCAGUUUUUCACUAUUUCAUUGUAAAACACCUUUUCCUUAUAACCAGUCUAAAUCUUCUGUUUUAGUUUGAAACCUUGUCUUAUCACAACAGACCUUGCUAAUAAGUCUGUUCCCUUCCUUCUUAUAGUCCCCCUUUAGAAGGCUGCUAUGAAGUCUCCCUGAAGCCUUCUCUUCUCCAGGUUGAACAGCCCCAGCUCUCUCAGCCUGUCCUCACAGGAGAGGUGUUCCACCUCCUGGAUCCUGUGUGUGACCCUCCUCCUCCAGCAGGUUUAUGUUCUUCCUGUACUGUACACCCAACAUAAGUUUUCCAACAUGAAGUCCUAAACUUAUUAGUGCUAGAAAGGAUAGCAGAAAACGUUUACCUAGUUAAUAGUCAAAGCUCUUGAACUUUGUAACAUAUCUUAAGUGUGCUUAAUGCUUUGUGAAUACCCCCAUGUUUGAACCACUACUUUAUCAUCAAGAAGAGUGCAGAAAUGCCUUCGCCAUUUAUGCAGAAGGUGCUUGCUAACACUUUCCUCUGAUUUCAUACUGUCAGCAAGAGUCAGACUGUCUGUCUGCUAUUGCUAC